rnacentral:rRNA from 1 species
UGGGGAAUUUUGGACAAUGGGCGAAAGCCUGAUCCAGCAAUGCCGCGUGUGUGAAGAAGGCCUUCGGGUUGUAAAGCACUUUUGUCCGGAAAGAAAUCCUUGGCUCUAAUACAGUCGGGGGAUGACGGUACCGGAAGAAUAAGCACCGGCUAACUACGUGCCAGCAGCCGCGGUAAUACGUAGGGUGCAAGCGUUAAUCGGAAUUACUGGGCGUAAAGCGUGCGCAGGCGGUUUUGCUAAGACCGAUGUGAAAUCCCCGGGCUCAACCUGGGAACUGCAUUGGUGACUGGCAGGCUAGAGUAUGGCAGAGGGGGGUAGAAUUCCACGUGUAGCAGUGAAAUGCGUAGAGAUGUGGAGGAAUACCGAUGGCGAAGGCAGCCCCCUGGGCCAAUACUGACGCUCAUGCACGAAAGCGUGGGGAGCAAACAGGAUUAGAUACCCUGGUAGUCCACGCCCUAAACGAUGUCAACUAGUUGUUGGGGAUUCAUUUCCUUAGUAACGUAGCUAACGCGUGAAGUUGACCGCCUGGGGAGUACGGUCGCAAGAUUAAAACUCAAAUGAAUUGACGGGGUCAUAGCUGUUUCC